rnacentral:tRNA from 1 species
GGUGGCUCAGUGGUAGAGUGCUUGCCUUGUGUGCAUGAGGUCUGGGUUCGAUUCCUCAGCACCA